rnacentral:lncRNA from 14 species
CUGACCGGGGGCAGGGGGUGGAGAGAGGAGGAGGAGGACGGAGAGGGAGGGAGGGAAGGAGAGAAGGAGGGACGAACGGGAGCCUCUCUCCUUCCCUGGGCUGUUUUUUCAGUUUCCUGUCUCUCAUUGUGCUCACAGCGGAUAUGUGCUGCGCCUACAGCAGGAACAAGUACACAUCAAAAGGCACUUCAUCCUGGAAGCUAUUUGCACAGAAGCCCGAGCCCCAAGAAGUCCCUUUCACUAGUGGUGGUCGCGCUGCUCAGGUGGGCUAAGAACUUGUUUGGACUGAGGGUUUUUUUUUAACCUCCUUUUCUUCCUCCAAAGCAGUAUGCUGCUUGCUGGAGAAGGAGGAGGUCCUCUUGUAGAG